GUGGUUGUGGCUCAGUGGUAGAGCACUCGCCUAGCAUGCCAUGAGGCACUGGGUUCGAUCCUCAGCACCACA
rfam:Ictidomys tridecemlineatus contig025163, whole genome shotgun sequence.